rnacentral:rRNA from 1 species
UACGAAGGGGGCUAGCGUUGCUCGGAAUCACUGGGCGUAAAGCGCACGUAGGCGGAUUGCUAAGUCAGGGGUGAAAUCCUGGAGCUCAACUCCAGAACUGCCUUUGAUACUGGCGACCUUGAGUCCGGGAGAGGUGAGUGGAACUGCGAGUGUAGAGGUGAAAUGCGUAGAUAUCUGCAGGAACACCCGUGGCGAAAGCGGCGCGCUGGACCACUACUGACGCUGAGGAACGAAAGCUAGGGGAGCAAACAGG